rnacentral:lncRNA from 1 species
AGGGAGGGGCGUUAUACUUAUAUUGAUAUAUAGACUAGUUAGCGGGUUUAGUACUGAUAUAUGUGUUUGGGGAGACAGGCUCAUAGGCAUUAGUUGAAGGAUAAAAGAUGGGCAAUGCAAACUCAAAGCUAGUAUGGGAAGUAUCAUCAGCAGUAGUGGUGUCCAAUUCCUUACCAUAAGUAAAAGUAUUAGUUCCCAGCUAGGGUCUUAUCGGCUAUUAGUCAGGUCUUUGCAGUAGUAGCAGAACAAAGUUCUAGUGGUUUUUCAUGUGAGAUAGCAGUCUUGGUAUCAGUGAUUCUAUUCUAAUAAUAGGAGUUGAACCAAGGAGUAGAAGAAAGAAUCAUAGGUGAACUAAAGAUUUGAGAUCAGUAGCCGAAGACCUUAUUACUGACUUUGUUCUUUCUAUCAGUAGGUCCAUUCUAUAUCCAUUACUCUUCUAUCAGUAGGUCCAUUCUAUAUCCAUUACUCAGUGACUUAGAGCUAUGCCCGAUACCCAGCAUUCCUAGUUGUUUUAUGUAUUCCUAGUUAUUUUAUUAUACUGACAGCUCCUUCUUGAUUAUACUAGAUGCACGCACUGGAUCAUACCAUCAUACCCGUUCGGAUAUUGAUUCCAACUUUCAUACCUAUUCUACCGACUAGAUCUACCGACUAUAACUUUCACUCUGAUUUCUAUAUACAAACUAUAUCUUUCAUUGAGAAACCCAACAUACGAUACGGGAGAAACAAACACACAUGUCCUAGAGCUACCCCGAAACCAUUCUUCAAGCAAUAACAGAAAACUCAUUCUUCUAGCUUCAAGCAAUACAAUAAAACUAAUUCAUUCUUAUAGUAUCGCCUAUGAGCGACCGUGGAUGGACUAAUUCUUUGAUCGGUCGUUAACUCAGUCUCUGGCCCGGCGCACACCCCAAUUGAUUGACACAUUGAUUGACCUGACCUCUUGAAUCACAUGUGUUACGCAUCGUUAAUUUAGAUACCUUUUGAACCUUAUUUAGCUAAUGAAAUAGAAAGAAGUUGACUAUACACCAAAAACAUCAGAAUGAAUAGCUGGCACGACCUACCACCCGAACACUUAGUGAUGUUGAACGUUG